rnacentral:rRNA from 1 species
AAUCUGCCGAGAUGUGGGGGAUAGCUCGCCGAAAGGCGAAUUAAUACCGCAUGUGGUUAGUGUUGGAUUCAACACGACACCAAAGCCGGGGCAACCUGGCGCAUCUUGAUGAGCCCGCGGCCUAUCAGCUAGUUGGUGAGGUAACGGCUCACCAAGGCUAUGACGGGUAGCUGGUCUGAGAGGACGACCAGCCACACUGGAACUGAGACACGGUCCAGACACCUACGGGUGGCAGCAGUCGAGAAUUUUUCUCAAUGGGGGUAACCCUGAAGGAGCGACGCCGCGUGGAG